AUGACCCUCGUCUUCGACCCCGCCCUCGACGACUACCGCAACCUCCCCGGCGUCGAGACCCGAGUGCCGGGCUUCGGCUCCGCAUACGGAUUCACCUCCAAGAAUGACGUGCAUAACAUGUUUUGUAUGAUGAGGCUCCGCGAAGAACUGGAAGUAGUAGGAUAUCGUGACAAAGAUACUCUUUUUGGAGCUCCGUACGAUCUACGUCAUGCUCCACCACCGCCCGGCCAGCCAUCUCAGGUGUACUCUGACUACUAUGCUCGUGUCAAGGAUCUGGUGCAGCUUGCCAGUGAGAAGAACGGGAACAAGCCGGUCAUCCUCAUUGGCCAUAGCUUUGGUGGCAGGGUCAUCCUCGAUUUUCUAAACUCGACUUCCCUUCCAUGGAGGCAAAAGUUCAUCAAGCAUAUGAUUGUCAUCUCACCCACACCUCCUACGGGCUUCACGCAUGUGCUCUCGAACCUUGCAUCCGGACCGGAGGAUGUUAUUGAUUUUCCAACCGUUCACCCACUUGCAUUGCGGCAGAUGUGGAGGACCUUCGCGAGUCCCCUUCUAUCCCUGCCAUCUCCCGCUGUUUUUGGUCAAAAGCCGCUCGUGAUCACCAAAAACAGGAACUACUCGUCAUAUGACUACCCACAAUUUCUUUCGGCGCUCGGUUUCAGCACCGACGAAGUUGUGCCCUUCACGAAACGGGUGCUUCCGACAAUGCUGAGGGUUGAUGCGCCAAUGGUACCAACAACAUACCUCAAUGGGGCCGGCAUACAAACGAUGGAGCAGGCGAUAUAUUGGGAAGGUAACUUUGACGUCGCCCCAGAGAUCGUGCAUGGCGACGGAGAUGGGUGCAUCAAUUUGGUUAGCGUGCUGUCGUUCGCCAAGGAGCUGCAUAGGCAGCAGCGGCAGAAUAACAUACACUUCAAGUUCGUCAAGAUUGAUCAUGCCACACACUAUGAUAUUGCUAGUCGAGAGCAUUCACUUAGAAUAAUUAUGAAUGAAGUUCUAGAAGCAAAUUGCUGA
rnacentral:rRNA from 1 species